rnacentral:rRNA from 1 species
AACGAACGCUGGCGGCAUGCCUAACACAUGCAAGUCGAACGAGACCUUCGGGUCUAGUGGCGCACGGGUGCGUAACGCGUUGGAACCUGCCCUUAGGUUCGGAAUAACUCCCCGAAAGGGGUGCUAAUACCGGAUAAUGUCUUCGGACCAAAGAUUUAUCGCCUUUGGAUGGGCCCGCGUUGGAUUAGCUAGUUGUUAGGGUAAAAGCCUACCAAGGCGAGGAUCCAUAACUGGUCAGAGAGGAUGGUCAGCCACACUGGGACUAGGACACGGCCCAGAAUAUUACGGGAGGGAGGAGAGGCUAAUAUUGCAAAAUGGGCGGAAGGAUGAACCAGCAAGGACGCGAGAGUGAUGAAAGUUGUAGGGUUGUAAAGCAAGUUUAUACCUGACGAUAAUGACAGUACCGACAGAAUAAGCUCCGGCUAACUUCGUG